rnacentral:rRNA from 1 species
CGGACGGCUGAGGAACACGUGGGUAUCUGCCCUCCAGUGGGGACAACCCGCCGAAAGGCGUGCUAAUCCCGCAUACGUUCCUUCCUUCGGGGAGGAAGAAAGCAGCAAUGCGCUGGAGGAGGAGCCUGCGGCCCAUCAGGUAGUUGGUGCGGUAAUGGCGCACCAAGCCAGUGACGGGUCCCUGGUCUGAGAGGACGACCAGGCAGACUGGGACUGAGAACGGCCCAG